UCCGUAGGUGAACCUGCGGAAGGAUCAUUAGUGAAACACCGGAUUCCUCUGCAAAGAGAAGGUCCGACCCACUAUCACACACACUUGUGCACUUGUCAUUUUUUACAAAUCCAUUUUGUACACACUUUUGCAUUUUGAAGGUUGAUUGCAACAAAUUUAAACGAAAGAAAAACUUUCAGCAAUGGAUCUCUUGGCUCUCGCAUCGAUGAAGAACGCAGCGAAACGCGAAAUGUAAUGUGAAUUGCAGAAUUCAGUGAAUCAUCGAAUCUUUGAACGCACCUUGCGCUCCCGGGUCAUUCCUGGGAGCAUGCUUGUUUGAGUGUCACGUACCCCCUCUCCACCCCGCCCUUGAUGAGGGUUGCUCGGGCUGGGAUCAUGGACGCUUUGUUGGCUUUGCCAACUGCGCUGAAAUUGAACAAGCUGAACCCACCUUGCGGCUUGACCUGUUGUUGUAAACUAAAUUCAAUGGGAACGCGAGCGAGGGACGAGCUUACCAGAACCGCCUUCGGGCACAGUGCAGUUUGACCUCAAAUCAAGUAGGACUACCCGCUGAACUUAAGCAUAUCAAUAAGCGGAGGAAAAGAAACUAACAAGGAUUCCCCUAGUAACGGCGAGUGAAGUGGGAAAAGCUCAACUUUGUAAUCUGGCUCUUUCAGAGUCCGAGUUGUAGUCUCGAGAAGCAACAUCCGCAUCGGACCUUGGGUAUGUCUGUUGGAAAACAGCGUCGUAGAGGGUGACAAUCCCGUUUGUACCAAGGACGACCGCGUGCAUUGUGGUGUGCUUUCCAAGAGUCGAGUUGUUUGGGAAUGCAGCUCAAAUUGGGUGGUAAAUUCCAUCUAAAGCUAAAUAUUGGCGAGAGACCGAUAGCGAACAAGUACCGUGAGGGAAAGAUGAAAAGCACUUUGGAAAGAGAAUGAAACAGUAUGUGAAAUUGCUGGAAGGGAAACGAUUGAAGUUAGACUUGCGUGGGCCCCACUCAGCCUUUUUGGUGUACUUGGGGCCCGUUGCAGGCCAGCAUCGGUUUGCUUCGCGGAAUAAGGGUGUGCGGGAUGUAGCUUCUUUUGAAGUGUUAUAAACGCGCACUGGAUGCCGAGUCGCAGACCGAGGAACGCAGCGUGUUUGUAGUGCCUGCAGGUACAGAGCGCUUAGGAUGCUGGUAGAAUAGCUUUAAACGACCCGUCUUGAAACACG
rnacentral:rRNA from 1 species